rnacentral:misc_RNA from 1 species
GCACCUGCGCUUUGGUCACCUUGCCUGCGACGUCGCGGCCCGGCGCCUUGGAGCCGGACUGGAUCUUCGCCGCCUGCUUGAGGAAGUAGGACAUCGGCGGGGUCUUCAUUUCAAACGUGAAGGACCGGUCCGCAUAAAUGGUGAUGACCACCGGGAUCGGGGUGUUCUUUUCUUCCUUCUGCGUCUGUGCGUUGAACGCCUUGCAGAAUUCCAUGAUGUUGAGGCCACGCUGACCAAGCGCGGGACCGAUCGGUGGCGACGGGUUCGCCGCACCGGCCGGGACCUGAAGCUUCAGGUAUCCGGUCACUUUCUUAGCCAUACUUUAC